rnacentral:rRNA from 1 species
UACAGGGGGGGCAAGCGUUGUUCGGAAUUACUGGGCGUAAAGGGCCAGUAGGCGGCCAACUAAGUCCGACGUGAAAUCCCUAGGCUUAACCUAGGAACUGCGUCGGAUACUGGAUGGCUUGAAUUCGGGAGAGGGAUGCAGAAUUCCAGGUGUAGCGGUGAAAUUCGUAGAUAUUGGGAAGAACACCGGUGGCGAAGGCGGCGACCUGGUCCUUGACUGACGCUGAGGCGCGAAAGCGUGGGGAGCAAACAGG